UUGAGUCAUAAGUAUAAUCCUUUAGGGCAUAAACUGAUCAACAACAGGCUUGACAAAGGAAUGUCUUCAGGCAGAGUAUUAUUACCAGUGAUGAGUGAUAAGUUAUGUUAUUUUCCAUACAGAAGUACUGUCUUGCAGUCAGAAUGGACUUUUAAUUUAUUAGAACAGCACGACAAGGAAGUAAAACCUGUAAUGCAUUUCCAAGAAAAAUGGGCUCGUGUGCAUAAGGCAUCCACUCGGCACAGACAAGGCAGCAGGCGCAGUGCUGGAGUCACUUUUCAGAUGGCAGACAGUUUUCAGAUUUAAAGCAACAUUAAAAAGCCACCUUAAACUGGUCACUAAAGGAGGAAAGCCUUCUGAUCAGAAAAUUCUUUCCUCCUCCAAAAAUAUUCCCUCCAAACUCUUUAGCUCAUAACCUCAUAGCAGGAUUAUGAUGUAUCUUCUUUUGCUUUCCAUUGCUUUUGUGGUGGGAAAAGCAGCUUGACCCUAGUAAUUCCUUCUCUCAGAUUUUAUUUUUCACAGGUCUUGGGGGCUUUGGUCUGAGCAGCUCCACUCCUGACCAGCACAUUGCCACUUGUCUAACACAUCUUGUUAGGGGACUGAGAGUGAUUGUCUUACUUUGCAGCUCCUGGCAAGAGGAAAAUGGGCUCACAGGCAACCAGAGGCUGCUGAGUGCUCAUAACCGCUCUGGAGCAGUUGCAAAACAAAAGAAAACUGGUGUUUUCAAAGCAAAAAUAGUGUCCUUCAAUAUACAGUAGCAUGGCUACCACUCCAGAAGGAUGGGCUGCUGGACAUUACCAGGGAGAGGGUAGAUAAUGUCAGUGUCCAGUCUUCAGGUGAUGCACUGGUGGAAGUGGUGGUGGUGAGAGACCCUCAGCCCCUGGAAGUUCUCUCCACACAUAAUGGUGACGGCACACAGAGGUGUGGCUUUCAGCAGCAAAGAGGGGACAACAUCCCAACCUGUCAGUGGAGAAGAAAGGGGUGGUAAAGCAGUUUCUGAAGGCACCCCAGGACAAGGGUGAGCUCAAAGCCUGCAGGGACAGAGCUGAAAAGUCCCCCAAAACACAGACUCAAGUGUUCAGCCUUCCCAGAUCCUUCUCCUCCAUGUGCAAUUUCCUGAAAUAGGGUGUAUCGUUCUAAGUGUUAUUAAAUGGCUUACACAUCCCUCAUCGUUAUUUUAAUUUUAAAAUGUUCUGCAGAGCUAAUUAUUUUUAAUGGUUGAAAAAAAAAAAAGGUGUGGUAAAAUAAUAUUUUAACUCUAGCAAUUUAAAUUGAGAACUCCUGUAAAAUUACCAAGUCUUUUGAACUGCUGUUCAGAAAGAGAUAUUCACUUUUAUCACACUCACUCCCUUCUUUAUAUAAUAUUUAACCCAUGAAGCUGUAAAGGUUAUACUUUGGAAGGUUUAUUCCUCAUCCUGCUGUUAUGACACACAAAUAAGUGACCAAGUAAGCAGGUAAAGCUAAAUAAACGAAGACGGAGAAACACAAGCCAAAGUGAAGUAUUGCUUGUUCUUAAUCCUGCCUCAUUUGGGGCACUUCUUUGUGAGAAUCCCAAAGUAGCUGAAGAUCCCUUCAAAGAAAAGCUAGUUAUAGAAGACUUAUCCCUGGCGCUCAUGUGAUCAGACAGGUUUCAAUAAAGUUGGCAUGCAGUACCUGUUCAUCACACCCUGAUACAUGAGCUUCUAAAAGCGAUGCAGGUACCCAGAGCCGCUUCCCUGGGAGCAAGGACAGCUGUUGUUCCCCCCAAGCAGCUGCAGUGUAAAGUGGUGGGAUACUGUCAGCCUCUGCAUCUCCACUGCUUCCUGCAGCUUCUCAUGCUCUUAUGGUUUAGGAGAACUUUUAUGUCAAAGCUUGAAUUGUGGCAAGUCAUGUUGAUACUUCCUGUUUUCUUUGAAUACCAGCUGUUCUGGGAUUGAGUAAGUAAACCAUCUGAUUGACAGAAAACACCGGUUUUGAACCCAGAGUUUUGAGUUUAUCUUUUAAGUGAUGUGCCACAAACCAAUUUGCAACUAACGAAUGCCCAUGUCAUCUAACAAAGCUGAAUCUGUCACUGUGAUGCUAAUAUCUAAAUGGGAAUACUGGUAGCUCCUGGAAACCAGUAAAUGCAUGUUAAAAAUCCCUGGUCUGGAAAUCUCCUUAUUUAAAAAAAAAAUGUUUUCUUUCCACUAAGGGAAUUCGUUAAGUAUGGGGCAAUUUGUGCUGCUGCUGAUGCCAUUAAAGUAUUGAAAAUGUGUUUCUGAAUGACGUUAAUUCAUUACUUUUCAAUUCUGAGCUUCUGGAAGCAAAAGACCACGUGGGCUGCAUGCCACUGAGAUACGCUACACCAGUUCUGCAGUCUUCAAACCCUUCAUGAUCUUUUGUGUUUGCUGGUAAGGGCAGCCCACCCAGCAUAAAAAGGCAUGCAAACGAUUUUAACAGACAAGCAUUGUUUUGACCAAGGUUUCCAGUGUUAAACUAUCCAGAAAGAUUUAGACAAAUUUUUCCCCGUGGUAAAAUGCCUAUGUUUGUUUAAAAAUGAAGAGAAAUUGCAAUGCAUUAUUUAUAGCCUAAAAUAUCCUUAAUAUUACACACGUGUAUUUCACUUAAUCAUUGUUUUGAUAAAUGCCCACAUUGCUAAACACCUAAUGUACAAUAGGAUGUGGUUCCCUAUUAAAUUAGCAGAUGCUACAGUUUCUGAUUGUUAAUGAUGGACCUGUUUGCCAAUAAAAACAACUGAUGGAUCAGCA